UGGGGAAUAUUGGACAAUGGGCGCAAGCCUGAUCCAGCCAUGCCGCGUGAGUGAUGAAGGCCCUAGGGUUGUAAAGCUCUUUCACCGGUGAAGAUAAUGACGGUAACCGGAGAAGAAGCCCCGGCUAACUUCGUGCCAGCAGCCGCGGUAAUACGAAGGGGGCUAGCGUUGUUCGGAUUUACUGGGCGUAAAGCGCACGUAGGCGGACUUUUAAGUCAGGGGUGAAAUCCCGGGGCUCAACCCCGGAACUGCCUUUGAUACUGGAAGUCUUGAGUAUGGUAGAGGUGAGUGGAAGUCCGAGUGUAGAGGUGAAAUUCGUAGAUAUUCGGAGGAACACCAGUGGCGAAGGCGGCUCACUGGACCAUUACUGCCGCUGAGGUGCGAAAGCGUGGGGAGCAAACAGG
rnacentral:rRNA from 1 species